UACGUAGGGGGCUAGCGUUGUCCGGAAUCAUUGGGCGUAAAGCGCGUGUAGGCGGUCCGGUAAGUCCGCUGUGAAAGUCGGGGGCUCAACCCUCGGAUGCCGGUGGAUACUGUCAGGCUUGAGUACGGAAGAGGCGAGUGGAAUUCCUGGUGUAGCGGUGAAAUGCGCAGAUAUCAGGAGGAACACCAAUUGCGAAGGCAGCUCGCUGGGACGUUACUGACGCUGAGACGCGAAAGCGUGGGGAGCAAACAGG
rnacentral:rRNA from 1 species